GAUCAAGAAGCCCGGCGCCAAGCCCUUCAGCUCGCCGGCUGGCAACCGCGUUCCCGACACGGUGCCCCUGAAGGAAGAUCCGCCGCGUGCCGACCGGCCCGCGGAAGCACGGACG
rnacentral:ncRNA from 2 species